UAGUCGAAAUUCAAACCGGAAGCACAAAGAGAAAGCACAAAAGCACAAAGAAACACACCAAUUAUCAAAUUCACUUCUUAGUUUUCAGCUUCAUUCUUAUAUAUUUUUUGGAUUUUUUUAUAUCAGAAUGUCGAUAACAAUGUCCUAAAUUUAUUAAUAUUUUUUUUAGAUUUUUAUGCAUAUCGAAAGUUGAUAAUUAAACCGAAUACACGAGUUUAAACUAGCACAAAGAGAAACACACAAGUUUCUCAAUCCGUAUGAGCAUCUUAAAAUUAAUCUACACCGUCCCAUAAUUUAUGCAAUCCGUAUGACCUCCUUAUCUACGGUCCAGAGUAUUCUUGAGUUAUCUAAACUAAAGAAGGGAGAGAAAACCUCUACUCAUUCUCCGCCUCUUACCUGCGUCUCUCUCUACAAACCCUAAUUGCUCCUCUUUCCCCACUCUAAACUUUCAUCUUCUAAGGCUAAAUCACUCUCAGAAAAUCCAAUUUCAUAACCCUAAAUCUCCAGUUUCUUACUCAAUUCAUUCUAAAUUUCUUACCCCCAAAACCGUUUUCUGAAACUCUAAUCGACCCUGAAUCUCAAUUUAAAGAUUUAAAAUACAGCUUCUAGCCGGAAAAAAUGAAGAAAAACCUAGUGGUGCGGUGAAUCUAGAUAUUAAAUCUUUGUCAUUAACGUCUCAUUCUUCUUCGAUUUCUUCACUUAAAUGAAAUCUAGGAUGUGCUUGUUCGAUUUAGAGAGACCUCUGAGGCCAAGUCAAGAUAGAAACAACAGAUGUACGAAGUUUGCUUUGCCGAGAAGACUAGGUCGAAGAAAUGAAGCUUUUGUUGCUGAAUUAAUGGAUAAGUGGGAGAAUGAAGGUGGGGAUUGAACUUACAGAGAUGGGUUCACUGGAUUUUAGGGGUUUGAUAAGAUUGAACUGAUGAGAAAUCAAGAUAUGAUGGUGGUGGUUAUUAUGAUGAAGAAAUUAGGAUAUUGGUGAAAUUCAAAUUGCAGAUGAGGAAUUGAAGCACAAGCUUGGAAGAAUCUCGAACCUGAUUUUGAGUUGGUGUUGCUGGUUAGAUGGAAUGGUUGAUGUUGGGACUUUGUUUGAAUCCGAAGAAAUGUUGGUGCUGAUGAAUAUCGGAUCUUUGUGAAGGAUGUCGUGGAAGGAAUACACAGGGUUUUUAUAUGAAUUUGAUAGUGGUGAUUUUGAUUGCUACACAGGAAGUUUAAGAUUGAAAUAUCGGGUUGCAGUUGAGGUGGAGGUUGCAGAGGUAUAGCUGAAGUUGAAAUUGCAUUAGAUGGUGAUGUCUGAGGUUGAGUAACUGGUGAUGCUAUCAGGAAGAAUCAGAUAAGAAUUAAUUGUGUUGCUGCUGCUGAAGUUCAUUGAAAUGGGUUAGAUGAAUGUUAGGUUUUACGGGUUUGAAAACUCAUGUUGCAGCACUGACACAGAGAACUAGAGAUGAUGAAUUUUCUGGUUCUAUGAUGUUCCAUAAACAACAAAGAGGACCUAGAGUUCGACUUCCAAAGCCUCCGUCGCUUUCCACGUAAAGACCUGCCUGCAAGAUGAGUUACAGAGAUAACUCUCACUCUCAAUUCAAUGUUGACAAACAUCAACCUCAACUAAUAGUUCUUAUAUUACCAGAAGGUGAACCUGCCAGUACUAAGGAUUGACUCAUUGCGGCGUUACUUGAAACACUUCAACAUUGUGAGUAUUACCUUUAUCAGUCUUUCUGAUUGUACAAGCUUAGAUUCUGCUGAUCCGAAAAGAACAAUUUUAGCAAGAUGGGAACUUAUCUUAGAGAAGCAAGGUCAAGGAAAGCUGGUUUGGUACUCGACGCUUUGGAUCGGCUACAAGGGGAAGAACAAAAGAAACGGCUGGAGAAGUUAAUGCCCAGGACCAUGACAGUUAGGGAGUGGGAAGAGUUUGUGAAACAUGUAGACUCUAUUGAAUUCAGAGUCAGAAGAAUAAAAAUGCAAGAAAAUCGUUCAAAACACACCACCCCACAUACCA